rnacentral:rRNA from 1 species
AAUAGAUACCCAGGUAGUCCACGCCGUAAACGAUGGAUACUAGCUGUUUGAGCGCAAGUUUGAGCGGCUAAGCGAAAGUGAUAAGUAUCCCACCUGGGGAGUACGGGCGCAAGCCUGAAACUCAAAGGAAUUGACGGGGGCCCGCACAAGCGGUGGAGCAUGUGGUUUAAUUCGAUGAUACGCGAGGAACCUUACCAGGGCUUAAAUGUAGAUUGACGUAUUUGGAAACAGAUAUUUCUUCGGACAAUUUACAAGGUGCUGCAUGGUUGUCGUCAGCUCGUGCCGUGAGGUGUCAGGUUAAGUCCUAUAACGAGCGCAACCCCUGUUGUUAGUUGCCAGCGAGUAAUGUCGGGAACUCUAGCAAGACUGCCAGUGUAAACUGUGAGGAAGGUGGGGAUGACGUCAAAUCAUCACGGCCCUUACGUCCUGGGCCACACACGUGCUACAAUGGCCGGUACAGAGAGCAGCCACUUAGCGAUAAGGAGCGAAUCUAUAAAGCCGGUCACAGUUCGGAUCGGAGUCUGA